UGUAUGCUCUCCUCGAGCUUUUAUUGACGUUUUCCUUGGCCCCUUCAGUAUUUCUCUUUGCAAAAUGUAGCCAAGUUCUUGUUACCAUUGUUUUUAAGGAAAUAUUUUUGUAGGUUGAGAAAAAAUUAAAUACCACAGUAUGUGCUUACUGUGGGCAAUGUACGGCAGCUUGGAAUUUGUAGGGUUCCAGACUGUCAGUAUAAGUCAGGAAAGGGCUCCAGCUGAGAGAAAGUGCAAGUAAAAAUGAUGGACAGAAAGUAGACCAGAGGCCAGGAGAGAGGAAUGGGGAGCUUCCUAGCAGGAGAACCCCAAACAGCACAUAUUUUGGGUAGGGACCACCCACAGAAGGUGGCAAUCUUGAGGACGAAAGCGCUGGUGGGGCUGUGUAUAUGUGUGUGUGUGUGUGUGUGUGUGUGUGUGCAGACAGAGAGACAGAGGAGGGGUGGGAGGUGGGGAGGCAGCAUUUCCCAUUGAGAUUUUUUUUCAGUCUUUUAUUCAGAAACUCCUCCGUGAGUCCAGCCUCUGUAAACAUACCUGUAUGCCCAAUUACAACAUACAGCUCAAGGAGUAUAGGGACCUGCUUGUUCUCAGAAUUGUAUUUAACUAGUUUUUUUCUUUUUUUUAAGGAGGCCUCAGAUAUACCUUCAUACUUCAGGCUCUCUUCUGCACAUGCGUAUGAAUUAUAGGCAUCCCAGGUUCUCAGUUACUUCCAAAAGGUCCUGGUUUCUUCUGGGAAUUAAAUCUAUUCCAGUUUUUUUGAACUUCACAUAUUUAGUUCAUGACAUGGGAACUCUGGAAAUGUUAAACCUAAAACUUGGUGCGGAUUGUUGUUAGCAACUUGGGACUGGUCUGAAACCCCCAUUCAUCCUGAGCAGCUAGGGGAAAGCGCAGUUGCAAAGCCUGCCGGCUGUCUACCCGCAGCUAUAAAUAGGAGCGGUUUGUUUUGCAGCCCCAGCACUUAGGCACCAAAUAUUUGCAGGGUGGAUGUUAUCGCAUCCCUGCUAUCUGCAUUUAUGUGGACCCUGAAGCCCACGCUCUGCUCUCUGCUUCCUGUUGGUAUUUGCAGCACUGUUGCCAUCAGAGAGGGACGACCUAUAGCAGCAUGGACGUGAUGGGCUCACGUAGGUGUUACCAUUAUGGAUGUCCAUGUGAGAAUAAAUACUAAGGUGCCUUCCUACCAGAGACAAAGACAAAAGCCAAACACGCAACAAUCAAGCUCACCAGCCACGAAGGCUGCCCAAGCCUAUGUUUUGCGGAAGUUUUUAUCUGAAUUUGCAAAUCUAAGCGGCUCAGAUUCUUCAAGAGGAGUUUGAUUAAAUAUUUGGAUUGAAGGCUACUUCUGAGAAAACUUCAAGAUAAAACAUCAAAGCAUUAAAACCGCAGGGCGCAGAUAACCUGCAGGAAACAGAAGACAGAGAUGCUCAGAGCUGAUAAGAGUCAAAUAGGCACUGGCUUUGGCUCCAGGCUCCCUGGCGACUCCUGGAUAACAGAGAAAAAAAUUUCUCCUUGCGAUUGGGCUACAGUGUUGCUGUUGUUUAAAGAAGUGAACAUGAAAAUUAGGCUACUUCUGUAAAAUUUUUCCUAGAACUAAACUCAGACUCCUGUAUCAGACUCAUUUAUCACAUGGAUCCUUGUAAAAGGGCAAUAGAGUGACCCAGACAACAUUUUCAGCUAUCAUUGUACAAGACAGAGAAAUUCCAUUCAAAGAGAUAAUUCUCAGAAUUACCUUCUAUAGAAGUCCUUAAGCAGCAAUUGAGUUAAGGCAUUUCAGAGAUCCUGUAGACCUGAUGAUAAAAAUGCAUACAAAAAAAAAGAAGUCCUUCUAUGUAAAACCUUUGACCAUUCCUAUUGUUUUCUAGGGUGACACUUAACUGUCCUUCAACCUAGAGGGCUGACUGGUCUAUUCACCCCUCAUUCCUGGUGGGGCAGACCCACAUUGGGCUUCCCAGGGGCUGAUCUCCCACACAUGUCAUUAAAGCAUGGAAAAGAGAAAGAGAUGGAAAUAAUCAAAACUAAAAGAGGAGGAAAAAAAUCCCCACAAUCACUAUUGGAGAAAAAAAAAAAGUGUAAAACACAUAAAAAAUCCACAGUCACUGUUAUGCUGGUAUCUUUCUUCUCCAUCAUGUCCCCUUAUUUACUUUUUUAUGGUAGUAAUUUUAAUAUACAUGCAAUUUCGUACUCUUUCUCCUAGUGAGGAAACCCUGGUGGCGUAGUGGUUAAGAACUACGGCUGCUAACCAAAAGUUCGGCAGUGUGAAUCUACUAGGUGCUCCUUGGAAACUCUAUGGGGACAGUUCUACUGUGUCCUAUAGGGUCACUAUGACUCGACGGCAAUGGCUUUGGUUUGGGCUGGACUCGUAGUGAACAUUUUAUCAGGAUCAUCUUUCCACAUUGCCAGAUAGCCCUUGUACAUCUCACAAAUGUCUCUUUGUAUUGUCCGUAUAUAUAAUUGUUGCCUUAAAUUGUAGAAUCACUGGGUUAAAGGCUUUCGGCAUUUUGAUGGCUCUUAAUAUAUAUUGAUAAAUUGAUUUUCAAAAAAAUAGUAAUUUUCAAGAUUAAGUAUAUUGAUUUUAUAUUUCCAAAUGCUUAUUUUAAAAGGUGUCUCUCUCCAUUUUGGUUUAAAUUGAAUUUAUUUAAUUACUAGCUGGCUUGAGCAAAAUGAUAUUGUUGGGCAAAACACUUCUAUAUUUUUGGCUAGAAAUAUUUAGUUUUCUCAUUAAUAGAAAACACAGCCCAUUUUAUCUCUGGGGUUUUAGUGUUGUGUAAGCUCGAUAAUAAUAAAGAUAUUAAACUCUUGGUCAUGUUUGCCACAAAAGUUUUUCCUCUUUUUUUUUUUUUUUUAACAUGGC